UGAAGGGGCACCUGAUCCAUUCAAUGCCGCGUGUGUGAAGAAGGCCUUCGGGUUGUAAAGCACUUUUGUCAGGAACGAAACGGUGGGGGCUAAUAUCCUCUGCUAAUGACGGUACCUGAAGAAUAAGCACCGGCUAACUACGUGCCAGCAGCCGCGGUAAUACGUAGGGUGCGAGCGUUAAUCGGAAUUACUGGGCGUAAAGCGUGCGCAGGCGAUUGUGCAAGACAGAUGUGAAAUCCCCGGGCUUAACCUGGGAAUUGCAUUUGUGACUGCACGGCUAGAGUGUGUCAGAGGGGGGUAGAAUUCCACGUGUAGCAGUGAAAUGCGUAGAUAUGUGGAGGAAUACCGAUGGCGAAGGCAGCCCCCUGGGAUAACACUGACGCUCAUACACGAAAGCGUGGGGAGCAAACAGGAUUAGAUACCCUGGUAGUCCACGCCCUAAACGAUGUCUACUAGUUGUCGGGUCUUAAUUGACUUGGUAACGCAGCUAACGCGUGAAGUAGACCGCCUGGGGAGUACGGUCGCAAGAUUAAAACUCAAAGGAAUUGACGGGGACCCGCACAAGCGGUGGAUGAUGUGGAUUAAUUCGAUGCAACGCGAAAGACCUUUACUACCCUUGACAUGUACGGAACCUGCUGAGAGGUGGGGGUGUC
rnacentral:rRNA from 1 species